UUAUGGCUCAGGAUGAACGCUAGCGACGGGCUUAACACAUGCAAGUCGAGGGGCAGCAUAAAAGUAGCAAUACUUGGUGGCGACCGGCGCACGGGUGAGUAACGCGUAUGCAACCUACCCAUCAGAGGGGAAUAACCCGGCGAAAGUCGGACUAAUACCGCAUAAAACAGGGGCACCGCAUGGUGAUAUUUGUUAAAGAGAUUCGCUGAUAGAUGGGCAUGCGUUCCAUUAGGUAGUUGGUGAGGUAACGGCUCACCAAGCCGACGAUGGAUAGGGGAACUGAGAGGUUGGUCCCCCACACUGGUACUGAGACACGGACCAGACUCCUACGGGAGGCAGCAGUGAGGAAUAUUGGUCAAUGGGCGGGAGCCUGAACCAGCCAAGUCGCCGUGAAGGAAGAAGGAUCUAUGGUUCGUAAACUUCUUUUGCAGGGGAAUAAAGUGCAGGACGUGUCCUGUUUUGUAUGUACCCUGAGAAUAAGGAUCGGCUAACUCCGUGCCAGCAGCCGC
rnacentral:rRNA from 1 species